GUGAACUCAUUCUCUAUUGAGCACCUACGUACUUGUCUUGAUGUCACACACACCAAUGACUCGAGACUAGUCAUUCUCCCUGAGAGAAGACACAACACAUACUGAUCUUAACGGACUGUCAAUGCCUAAUUGGCAAUCCUAUGAUCAGGAACAUUUAGGAUGUGUCUACGAAAGAAUGGUCUUAUGAAUCUAACUUCUUUAGAUUGCAUUCUCCCAAUCACAUAUUCCUUGGACUUAUCGUUUAAGCAUAUAACAUUUAUAUGAGACGGCUCAAACAAUAAUCUUUGCCCUUUAUAUUUAAACUACAUUAGUUUAACUUGUGAAAUGUCCGUAAAGUAUCAUCAUAUGAUUGGUUUUAGGGCACAUUUCCAACAUCAAGAACACACCUUUCGAAGGUGUUGUAAAUUGUUCUUUAUAAGUUCAAAACAGUUGGUCACUUGAAUGCUUGAUUCUGUAUUAGUAACUAUGUUUUACAAUCGUAGUAAAAGUGUGGCUAAUAAGAAGUAGAAGAUUAAUGAGAGAAUAGAAAGUACUUCACAUUCGAAACGUGAAUCAAAUAUAGAUCUCUGCGAAAGCAGGUAGUACUUACUUCCUCCUAUGAACUACCAAAGAAAAUGGAAAAACAAAGAUUUUCUUUUAAAUUCCAUUUUGAAUAAAGGAACUUAAUUCCGUAAGAGAAAUGGAUGAAUGUUUUGUUUGACAAAACAUUGUUCUUUAUUAAUGAAUGAUUAUAUUAUUGUAAUCUAAUUGAUUAUCUCUAUAGUAGAGAUCAUAUGGUAGUGUUAACUGUUUAGAAUAUAACGAUGCUUAAAACCCAAAUGGUUGCAAGGUAGUGACUAAUCCCAACUGAGUUGUGAUACCUCUAAAACAUAAAUUACGAGUUGGUCAUAGAUGGAUGCUUUGGAUCGUUAGAUCCGGAUCCAAUGCCUUCUUGUUAAAAUUGUAUAGAGGCAAAAUGUUUGAAUCUUUAUUCUUUUGGAAAGGAAGAAAGAAUCACAAAGUUGUUGAGGUUAAUUCACUUAGAUGUUAGUGGCACUUGUCCACAACAAAAUACUACUCAUGUUGUAUGACAUUCACCGAAGAUCGCUGAUGCGAAUUUUACUUAACACACAAAUUAAAACCUCUUGUAUCAAUUGUAGUAAAGAAUGUAAGUAAGGAUCAUUCUGGACCGGGGAUUAGGAGGGCUUGCUAAUAACCUCUAAACUGACUUAAAAAUAUAAAAUUAAGUUUAAAACACCAAACUAGACUCAAAAGAUGCAAUACAAACUAAAAAGACUCAAAACUAGUUUAAAAGACUCAAAACAGCUUAAAACAAUGAAUUAGACUCUAAAAUGACUGUAGGGAUGGUUUUGGACGAAAUUAGGUUCUAACUUGACUCAAGACACUUAAAAACACAAAUCAAAACAGAUUUUGACUAAUAAAACACUUUAAAGUAAAGGGGGAUUUGAUUUUGAUGAAUUUGAAAACAAAACAAACAGAUUGUAAACUAAAACAGAUUUUGGACAAAUUUGGGUAAACUAUGGAUGAUGGGCUAGCUAGAGGGUUCUUCUCCACACAUGACACACUUGCACAUAAACCAAUUUUCAGUUGUUCUUUCGAUAAAUCAUGAAACUCAACACCCCAGGUUAAUUAAGUCCGCUUAAAUUAACCUUCAAGUUCUCCUUAAGUUAUUGAAUUGGAUGGGAAAGUGCAUACAACAAUUCAAGCAUUCUUCAAAAGUCCUUUUUCGUGAAUAGCACAAUAAAGAUACAAUCAAAGAUCAUUAAGCAUUAUGAAAACUAUAAGUAUUGACGAGGCAUUCGUUACUAUGAUGAGCAUGAAACUCCUGCCAAGAAUUUAUUUAACGCGAUCGUUUAUAAGCGACCUCCACUACUUGUGAAUAUAAGUUUGUAACUAUUACGUGAAACUCCCUUAUACUCUAGCAUCAUAUUCAUGCAUGCAAACUAAGUGUGCACUCUUAAUAAACAUACACGAAUAUGUUAUCAAUCAAGCAGUUAAACAAAUUGAAUUCACAACUUUUGAAAUCACAACUGAAGGUAAUCAAUUCAUAUUGCAAGUAUGUUCAUGGCUUUGAAUUCCCCCCUAGCUAAGGGGGGUUUAGUUUCUCAUACUCACAAAGCAAAGAUAAACAAAUUUAAACAUUGAAAACAAAAGAAUGAAAACACCUAAAAACGCUCCAACAAUCCAACUUGAAUGGCAAGCACGUCCAACGGUCCUCCUCCUUCUCUUUGUUACGGCAUAAGGUCUGGUUUGAUGAUGCAUAUGGAUAUAUGGAAGGGAAUGGCUGAAUGUGUUUAGGUUGGAUGGAGGUCACGGCAAGGAAAGGGAAAUGAAGGUGCAUGGAAUUGUGUUUUUGUUGUGGGAAUGUGUAGAAUGGUUCAGAAGAAAAGACUCUGCCUUGUGGCAAAAUGUGUCUUCCUUCCUUCUCCCUAAACUAUCCCCCCAAAUGUGUCUUUGGAUGGAUAUAUUUAUAGGCUAGGGAGAGGAUGUAGUUGGUGGUGGUAAUCAGUGGAUGUAGUGGUAGGUGAAUGUGUUGGGUGGUUGAAAUGAGUGGAUGUGUUGGGUGAAAUGAGUGGAUGUGUUGGGUGAAAUGAGUGGAUGUAGUGGUAGGUGAAUGGAUGUGUUGGGUGAAAUGAGU
rnacentral:lncRNA from 1 species